CAGAUCAUCCAGAUUGUAUGAAUUCCAACUGAGAUCUCACAGGAGGAACAACCUAUUCUCAAUCACCCGUCUUCAUAAAGCAAGUUGUGUAUAGAUGGCAUAUCAAUGCAUGUACCUUUACAGAGAAGAUGUAAUUUAAGAAAGGUGGGAAAGAGAGGAAGGAAUAAAAGGACAGGACCUCUGCUAUCCCCACAAUGAAGAUUUCAGCUUAAGAAACUGGAGGAAAACUAGGUGCCUGAAGUUCAUUUAUAAGAGAGAGAAUUGAGUCAGAACAAAAAACUUUUGCCAAGGAGAAGAGUCAAGUCUCCAACAAGUUUGGACAGAGAAGAGAAUUUGAGCAAGAACAAGGCAGGAAUGAUAUCGCCAUAGAUGACCCUGCCACACUGGCUUAUGGUAAUUUUCAUCUCUCUUCACCAUUCUCUGAAAUCUGCUCCACUGGCUCCCUGACCAUAACAAUGGAUCCCAACAUACACAUGUUUAUAGCAGCAGAAUUCAUAAUGGCUAAAUCUUGGAAGCAGCCUAUACAUCCAUCAACAGAUGAAUGGAUAAAGGAAGUAUGAUAUUUACACAUGGACUUCCAGGAAAAUGGCAGACUUGUAAGCAAAAACUAAAGUGCCUCUUCAAGAUUCAGAAUCUGGACACUGGAAAAUAACAACUUGAGGAAGAAAAGAAGAAGGGAGGUAGAUUCUGAGACCCAGGAAGGAUCCAAUGGGUAAAUUGCAGCCUUCAGAGAAACUGAAGAAACAGAACACAAGGUGGAAAGAGGGAGGAGGAUUCUGCACUUUCUUCCUGGCUCCUGGCUCCUGAGAAAAGAAGACCUAAAUCUACAGAGACAUAGUGAAAGCACAAUGGAAUUCUACACUGCCAUAAAUAGAUAAACUUGAGUCAUUUGUAGGAAAAUGGAUGCACCUUGAGACCAUAAUGUUAAGUGAAAUAAAUCAGA